GACGAACGCUGGCGGCGUGCUUAACACAUGCAAGUCGAGCGGAGCGGCGAACGGGUGAGUAACGCGUGAGUAACUGCCCCCCUCUCUGGGAUAACAGUUGGAAACGGCUGCUAAUACCGGAAAGUGGGGGAUGACUCGCGUCCUAUCAGCGUGUUGGUGGGGUAGUGGCCUACCAAGGCGACGACGGGUAGCCGGCCUGAGCGGGCGACCGGCCACAUUGGGCUGAGGUACGGCGCAAACGCCAACGGGAGGCAGCAGGGGGGAGUAUUGCACAAUGGGGGAAAGCCUGAUGAAGCAGCGCCGCGUGCGGGAUGACGGCCUUCGGGUUGUAAACCGCUGUCAGCCAUGACGCGGUAGUGGCAGAAGAAGCACCGGCUAACUACGUGCCAGCAGCCGCGGUAAUUC
rnacentral:rRNA from 1 species